GCUAGCAUGGUAUAGUGGUUUGAGUAUUGGACUGUGACUCUGAAGACCAGGGUUCAAAUCUCAGCUUGGUCA